rnacentral:rRNA from 1 species
UACGUAGGUGGCAAGCGUUGUCCGGAUUUACUGGGCGUAAAGAGCGCGCAGGCGGUUGGCCAAGUCCGAUGUGAAAGCUCCCGGCUUAACUGGGAAACUGCAUCGGAAGCUGGUCGGCUUGAAGGUGGGAGAGGGUAGCGGAAUUCCCGGUGUAGUGGUGAAAUGCGUAGAUAUCGGGAGGAACACCAGUGGCGAAGGCGGCUACCUGGCCCAUUCUUGACGCUGAGGCGCGAAAGCUAGGGGAGCGAACGGG